AUUAAGACUCUCGGCAACGGAUAUCUCGGCUCUUACAUCGAUGAAGAACGUAGCGAAAUGCGAUACUUGGUGUGAAUUGCAGAAUCCCGUGAACCAUCGAGUCUUUGAACGCAAGUUGCGCCCGAGGCCCUCGGGUCGAGGGCACGCCUGCCUGGGCGUCACGC
rnacentral:rRNA from 3 species